rnacentral:rRNA from 1 species
UACGUAGGGUGCGAGCGUUAAUCGGAAUUACUGGGCGUAAAGCGUGCGCAGGCGGUUUUAUAAGCCAGAUGUGAAAGCCCCGGGCUCAACCUGGGAAUGGCAUUUGGGACUGUAAGGCUGUAGUAUGGCAGAGGAGACUAGAAUUCCUGGUGUAGCAGUGAAAUGCGUAGAUAUCAGGAGGAAUACCGAUGGCGAAGGCAGGUCUCUGGGCCAAUACUGACGCUCAUGCACGAAAGCGUGGGGAGCAAACAGG